rnacentral:snoRNA from 1 species
AAUCUAUGGUGAGGGCACAUUCUCAAUAGAUCUUUGUAUCUCUCCCAUGCAUCAUACAGUGUUUCUAAAUCCAUUUGCACAAAAGAAGAGAUAUCAUUCCAUAAUUU